UCAUGUACCAAAAUGUUCAUUGCAGCUCUAUUUAUAAUAGCCAGGACAUGGAAGCAACCUAAGUGUCCAUCGACAGAUGAAUGGAUAAAGAAGAUGUGGCACAUAUAUACAAUGGAAUAUUACUCAGCCAUAAAAGGAAAUGAAAUUGAGUUAUUUGUAGUGAGGUGGAUGGACCUAGAGUCUGUCAUAUAGAUAAGUCAGAAAGAGAAAAACAACUACCGUAUGCUAACACAUAUAUAUGGAAUCUAAAAAAAAAAAAAAAUGGUAAUGAGGAACCUAGGGGCAAGACGGGAAUAAAGA